rnacentral:rRNA from 1 species
CAGCAGCCGCGGGAAUACAGAGGGUGCGAGCGUUAAUCGGAUUUACUGGGCGUAAAGCGUGCGUAGGCGGCUUCUUAAGUCGGAUGUGAAAUCCCUGAGCUUAACUUAGGAAUUGCAUUCGAUACUGGGAAGCUAGAGUAUGGGAGAGGAUGGUAGAAUUCCAGGUGUAGCGGUGAAAUGCGUAGAGAUCUGGAGGAAUACCGAUGGCGAAGGCAGCCAUCUGGCCUAAUACUGACGCUGAGGUGCGAAAGCGUGGGGAGCAAACAGGAUUAGAUACCCCGGUAGUCCCUGUCUCUUAUAC